GCCAUGUGGUGUAGUGGUUUGAGCAUUGGACUAUGACUCUAAAGAUCAGGGUUCGAUUCCCGCUUCGGCA